rnacentral:rRNA from 1 species
GAUGAACGCUGGCGGCGUGCCUAAUACACGCAAGUCGAGCGAACGGACGAGAAGCUUGCUUUUCUGAUGUUAGCGGCGGACGGGUGAGUAACACGUGGAUAACCUACCUAUAAGACUGGGAUAACUUCGGGAAACCGGAGCUAAUACCGGAUAAUAUUUUGAACCGCAUGGUUCAAAAGUGAAAGACGGUCUUGCUGUCACUUAUAGAUGGAUCCGCGCUGCAUUAGCUAGUUGGUAAGGUAACGGCUUACCAAGGCAACGAUGCAUAGCCGACCUGAGAGGGUGAUCGGCCACACUGGAACUGAGACACGGUCCAGACUCCUACGGGAGGCAGCAGUAGGGAAUCUUCCGCAAUGGGCGAAAGCCUGACGGAGCAACGCCGCGUGAGUGAUGAAGGUCUUCGGAUCGUAAAACUCUGUUAUUAGAGAAGAACAUAUGUGUAAGUAACUGUGCACAUCUUGACGGUACCUAAUCAGAAAGCCACGGCUAACUACGUG